UACGGAGGGAGCUAGCGUUAUUCGGAAUUACUGGGCGUAAAGCGCACGUAGGCGGCUUUGUAAGUCAGAGGUGAAAGCCUGGAGCUCAACUCCAGAACUGCCUUUGAGACUGCAUCGCUUGAAUCCAGGAGAGGUGAGUGGAAUUCCGAGUGUAGAGGUGAAAUUCGAUAGAUAUUCGGAAGAACACCAGUGGCGAAGGCGGCUCACUGGACUGGUAUUGACGCUGAGGUGCGAAAGCGUGGGGAGCAAACAGGAU
rnacentral:rRNA from 1 species